rnacentral:rRNA from 1 species
AGGACGAACGCUGGCGGCGUGCCUAAUACAUGCAAGUAGAACGCUGAAGAGGAGCUUGCUCCUUGGAUGAGUUGCGAACGGGUGAGUAACGCGUAGGUAACCUACCUCUUAGCGGGGGAUAACUAUGGAAACGAUAGCUAAUACCGCAUAACAGUCUUGGCCGCAUGGCUGGGGCUUGAAAGGAACAAUUGUUUCACUAAGAGAUGGACCUGCGUUGUAUUAGCUAGUUGGUGAGGUAACGGCUCACCAAGGCAUCGAUACAUAGCCGACCUGAGAGGGUGAUCGGCCACACUGGGACUGAGACACGGCCCAGACUCCUACGGGAGGCAGCAGUAGGGAAUCUUCGGCAAUGGGGGCAACCCUGACCGAGCAACGCCGCGUGAGUGAAAGAAGGUUUUCGGAUCGUAAAGCUCUGUUGUAAGAGAAGAACGUUGAUGUGAGUGGAAAGUACAUCAAGUGACGGUAUCUUACCAGAAAGGGACGGCUAACUACGUGCCAGCAGCCGC